rnacentral:rRNA from 1 species
UUUCGCAUAUCUUUAUUUUUGAGGAAAAGAAACCAACAGGGAUUGCCUUAGUAGCGGCGAGUGAGCGGCAAAAGCUCAAAUUUGAAAUCUGGCUCUUUCAGAGUCCGAGUUGUAAUUUGAAGAAGGUAUCUUUGGGUCUGGCUCUUGUCUAUGUUUCUUGGAACAGAACGUCACAGAGGGUGAGAAUCCCGUGCGAUGAGAUGAUCCAGGCCUAUGUAAAGUUCCUUCGAAGAGUCGAGUUGUUUGGGAAUGCAGCUCUAAGUGGGUGGUAAAUUCCAUCUAAAGCUAAAUAUUGGCGAGAGACCGAUAGCGAACAAGUACAGUGAUGGAAAGAUGAAAAGAACUUUGAAAAGAGAGUGAAAAAGUACGUGAAAUUGUUGAAAGGGAAGGGCUUGAGAUCAGACUUGGUAUUUUGUAUGUUACUUCUUCGGGGGUGGCCUCUACAGUUUAUCGGGCCAGCAUCAGUUUGGGCGGUAGGAGAAUUGCGUUGGAAUGUGGCACGGCUUCGGUUGUGUGUUAUAGCCUUCGUCGAUACUGCCAGCCUAGACUGAGGACUGCGGUUUAUACCUAGGAUGUUGGCAUAAGGACCGUAAGUCGCCCGUCUUGAAACACGGGACCGGGGG